AGCUCACAACCCCGAGAUCAAGAGUCACAUGCUUCUCCAAUUGAGCCAGCCAGGCUUCCCAUAAAAUUCAUUUUAGUUUUAUGUUAAAGGCAAGGACACACAGUUCCAUGGAAAAUACAAAAUACGUUUCAUCCUCGAGUACCUGGUUUUUCCAAGUUUUAAGGAGUUGGUAGUGGUGUCCAACAAUGUGCUGCAUUAUUUCUAAACUGCAGUUUUCUCACAUAGUCACAUAGGAAUAAACACCAAAACCACUGACUUCUAUAUUACUUUGUAGCGAUAUUCUUAGUCUAGCCUAGACAAAAUUAGAUUCAAGCUUUUGCUCCAGUACCUAAGCAUAUGAGAUCAGAAAAAAAAUUUUCAGCACUCUCUUGGCUAAAAUACAAAGUUGUAUGAGGUGCCUUCAGACCAGACCUUUUCUCUGAAACAUAGAUAUACUAAGACAGAAAAUCUGAUAAAAUCAAGAGAUUAAUAAAAUAUUCUGUGAUCUCACAACCUCCUUUUAAGUUCACAGAACAUCAAGAGGGGUGCCUGGCUGGUUCAGUUGGAGCAUGCAACUCUUGAUCUUGGGGUUGUGAGUUUGAGCCCCACUUUGGGUAUAGAGAUUGCUUAAAAUAUUUAAAAAAAAAAAAAAAGGUUCACAGAACAUUAAGAAAUAAAAGCAACAAAUUUGAAGUCAGAAGACCAUAUACUGGAGUGGCUGGCUGGCUUCACUGGAGAAGCAUGUGGUUCUUGAUCUUGGGGUCAUGAGUUCAAGUUCCAUGUUAGAUGUAGAGAUUACUUAAAAUCUUUUUUAAAAAUAAAGAAGACCAUAUACUGUUUGAGAAUUUCUAAAACAUGUUGAAGGUAUUAACAUUUGACAGCUACUUAAAAUGCUUAGGGGCGUCUGGAUGGCUCAGCCUGUUGAGUGUCCAACUCUUGGUUUUGGCUCAGGUCAUGCUCAGGGUCCUGGGAUCAAGCCCUGUUUUGGCCUUCAUGCUUAGCAAGGAGUCUGCUUCAGGAUUCCCUCUCCCUGUGCCCCACCCUCUCCCCCUGCACACACGCCCUCUCUCUCUCUCUCUAAAAUAAAUACAUCUUUUGGGGCACUUGGGUGGUUCAGUUUGUUAAGCAUCUGUCUUCAGCCCAGGUCAUGAUCUCAGGGGUUCUAGGAUUAUGCCUUGCAUCAGGCUCUCUGACGGGAGUCUGCUUCUCCCUCUGUCUCUCAAAAUUUUAAAAAAUAACAAAUCUCUUUUUUUUAAGUGCUUAUAUCUCCCUAGAUGUAAAUACCAUUUCAGAUAUUUACUAAUUUGUCUUGUUAUGUCUAUAUAUAUUUCCAAUAUUUAUGAACCAGCCAAAAUCUCAAAUCCACAUGGGAUGUCAUAAGCAGUUUCUAAAGUCUUGAAAUACUAUUAGCUAAUGAUGCAUCUCAAGAAAAUCACCCUGAGUGAAAAUUUGACAAGUGCAAUAUAUCGAGAUUUUUAUCUGGGCUCACCCUACUAAGAUUCUCUGAAGAUAAUACGCCUUGCCACCACUGAUAAUAUGGUGUUGUUGUGUUCAUAGAAAAGGAAAUCAAGAGAAUUAGCUGAGUUGAUGAGACUGGUCGAAAACAUCUCUUAAACUUGUUUUGCCUUCUAAAGAAGUUUCCGGACUGCAGAGGAAUGUUAAUGGUAUGCCUGUUAUGCCUGUCUAAUCAACAUGAGCCUCUGUACUAGAAGUAGCAAGAGCGAGGGAAAGAAAGCUUGCUUGCUGUGUGUCUUUUGUCCUGACUUAUAUGCUAUGGGCCUGCCAGUUGUUGCCAUGAAAAGACCCUAGAUGAUCAUAAAGGUAAAGCAAGACUACCCCAGGGUAGGCACAGCCAGAGUUCUAAGGCCCAGAACACAUCCGUGAGGUCUGAGCGAUGUGGCCUCCUUACAAACAAAUUUCACCUUAAAUAAUUUCUAGAUGCUGAAAUCCCUGGAGCCUUUUUGUUCAUUUUAAGGGGAGGAAGAGUCCACAAUACUUUGCUUUUUGGACAUUACAGAUGCUAGAGCUGCUGAGGCCACCAACAUUUUUGUGAUAGACAAUAGGAAGUGGGCAGCUAAAUAUACCUACCUGUAUUCUUAUCUCGUUUAUAUCCUUAGCACUGCUUAUUAAGUGCUUUUGUGGUAAACCAAAAUAAAAGCUUUGAACCAAGUCCAAGUUGGGAUUCUCACCCAUCUUCAAAUUAAAGCUUUGUGUUCCAGUCUAAGAGAGGUAGGUAGGUAGAUACAUACACACAUAUAUACAGGAAAAGUCCUUAACCUAUUUUUAAGAUCCUACUAAUUUCAAAUAAAUAAAAAUCUUAACUAAUUUCACACCAGUGGAUGAAGUAAAUGUCAUAGGCUAUGUUAACAAAGAACCAACCAGACUUCUGGCUCUACAGAAAUCCUCUGAUCUCCAUCUUGAUGCUACUUGACCCAUAGUCAGCCUUUCUUGCUUCUGCUGUCACUGCCUCUUCCCAAACUUAGCAGAGGAGUCUGCUGUCGCUCUCAGACUGCUUUCUCCUCAUUCACUCCUCAGCUUCAAACUGCUUUUUGCUAAGGUCACUGAUGGCCAAAGUCCCACAACUGGCCCUCUCUGACUUGUCUCCUCUGUCACUGGACAUGGUGACCAUCCCCUACCUUGCCAGUCCCUCCACUUGUCCUCUACAGCAGCACGUUUUCUUGUCCUGCUUACACUGUUCUCUCACUACUUCCCAUCCUGCUAAGUCUCCCCUUCUCUGCCCGCCUGAAGAUUCCACACCUUCAUUCUUGGACGUCUUUUGGUUUUUAUACUCUAGCCAGAUUGUCUCACUUGCUCCCACGGUUUCAAUUAUAUUGACUGUCCUAAAGCUGAUGCUCCAAACCCCAUUCCUCUCCCAAGCUCUAGACCUGCAGUUCCAACUGCAAUUUCUCACGCCUGUCUCUUGCCUAGCUAUAAAGCAUGCCUAAAACUGACCUCAUUUCCAUUUUCUCCCCCCACACACACCCAAACUGCAUUGCCUUUUGCAUUUGCAAUCUUUUCAUGUCAUCUCUGUUCACUAAGAGCCAGGAAUCUUUUUUUUAAUUGAGACGUAAUUCAUAUAUAACACUAUAUUAGUUUUAGGUGGCCAGUUAAUAAUGAUUCGAUAUUUGUAUAUGUUGCAAAGCGGUCACCACAAUGAGCCUAUUAACAUCCAUCACCACAAACGGUUAUCUUUUUUUUCUUGUAACGAAAACUUUUGAGAUCUACUCCCUUAGUAACUUUCAAAUAUACAAUGCAGUAUUAUUAACUGUAGUCACCAUGCUACAUAUUAUAUCCCCAUGACAUUUAUUUUAUAACCAGAAAUGUAUAAAAGCUAGAAACAUUUAAGUCUUUCUCUGCUUUUCGUUUGCUUUCAUACCCUACUUCCAAUGGGGAGUUUAUCCAUCUUACUUUAAAACACGCCUUGAAGGACACCUGAGUGGCUCAGUUAAGCAUCUGCCUUCUGCUCAGGUCAUGAUCCCAGCCAAGGUCCUGGGAUCGAGCCUGGUGUUGAGUUCCCUCUUCAGCAGAGACUCUGCUUAUCCCCCUCCCCUAUGCUCUUUCUCUCUCAAAUAAAUAACUCUUAAAAAAAAAAAAAAAAAAAAAAAAAAAAAAAAA
rnacentral:lncRNA from 1 species